GGUUAACGCUGGCGGCGUGCCUAACACAUGCAAGUCGAACGGUUCUAAGCGCGAGCUUAGGAUAGUGGCGAACGGGUGAGUAAAAGGUAGGAAUCUACCCCUUGGACGGAGAUAGCUACUGGAAACGGUAGGUAAACUUCGAUAAGCCCGAGAGGGGAAAGUGGUGAGACAGCCGAGGGAUGAGCCUACUCUCCAUCAGGUAGUUGGUGAGAUAAAAGCUUACCAAGCCGAUGACGGAUAACCGGUGUGAGAGCAUGAACGGUCACAAGGACACUGAGAGACGGGCCCUACUCCUACGGGAGGCAGCAGUGGGGAAUCUUGGACAAUGGGCGAAAGCCUGAUCCAGCGACGCCGCGUGGAGGAAGAAGUCCUUCGGGAUGUAAACUUCUGAACUAGCCGAAUAAAAGGCCUGUGGACACACAGGAGAAGAAAGUAGGCUAGGAAAAGUCCCGGCUAACUACGUG
rnacentral:rRNA from 1 species